GUCCCUGUCGUCUAGCCGGCCCAGGACACCGGGCUCUCAAUCCGGAAACGGGAGUUCAAGUCUCCCCAGGGACACCA
rnacentral:tRNA from 1 species